GAGCCAUGAAAGGCUGCUUUGUUGGCUGACUGAUCACUGGAGAGAAACACAAAAUGGCAACUGAAUACAGCAGGCAAGGGAGAUUGAAGCAGACCACAGCCAGCUGCAGGAGGGCCUGAUUGGAGCCCUCUGCAGGCCAGAUCUGGCCCGCUGGCCGCAUGUUUGACACCCCUGGUCUAAAGAUGUCAGAUAAUGUGUUAGACCUUGACAUGGUUCCAGAUGCUUCCACAAGACUACAAGGAUAUGGACGGUUUCUGAAGUCCUGGAAGUAAGGGAGAGCUCUCUUGUAUCUUGGCAGAGUGUCAGCCAUUGAACCUGGAGGAGGAAACCUACACUGAAGUUCUCUAAGUUCCAGAUUUCUGUUACUUGAAAGAAUCACUGGUCAAUAAUGUGAAGAAGAAAACACUUAAGAUUUUUCUGGAGAAGAAGACCUCAUAUUUGUGGACUGUUUUUUUGUUUGUUUGUUUGUUUGAUGUUUAUAAUUCUUCCUUUGUAAGCCAGGCUUUGUCGAGCACCACCAAAAGAUGCCAGCAAAGACACCCAUCUACCUGAAAGCUGGCAACAAUAAGAAAGGGAAGAAAUUCAAGUUGAGGGACAUUCUGUCUCCUGACAUGAUCAGCCCACCUCUGGGUGAUUUUCGCCACACAAUUCAUAUUGGGAAAGAAGGACAACAUGACGUUUUUGGAGACAUCUCAUUUCUGCAAGGAAAUUAUGAGCUCUUACCUGGGAAUGAGGGAGAAUCAACAGGCAGUCAGUGUGGAGGGCACAAUGAGUUCCUGAGGGCAAACAGCACUUCUGACUCUGUGUUUACUGAAACUCCUUCCCCGGUGCUUAAAAAUGCCAUAUCACUUCCUGCCAUCGGUGGUUCUCAAGCCCUCAUGCUGCCCUUGUUGUCACCGGUGACAUUUUAUUCAAAGCAGGACUCUUUGGGGCCGUUAAGGAAUCCCAGACACAGUUGUGAGCCUGUAAUGGAAGAAAAGUUGCAGGAGAAGAGCAAACAGUUAGAGAAUGGGAAAAUAUACAAAGAUGACAUCACAUGGCAGCGGAACGUCCCAACAUCGCAUUAUGCUAACGGAAGAGACAGUCAUUCAUCCAGCCUUUCAGAACAAUACACUGAAUGGCAAACAGAGGACUUAUUUGACAAUGGCCAUCUUUCAUGUGAUUUAACCAAGACUCAAGUAAAAUCUGAAGAAUCCCUCUCAGAUCUGGCUGAGCCCCUCCUGUCUCUCCAGAUUGAUCUGGGGCCCUCACUUUUGGAUGAAGUGCUCAAUGUAAUGGACAAAAACAAAUCAUAGAACAUGUUACUCUUUUCACUUCAUGAUAAUACAACUGAAAUGUAAGGGCAUCAUCCAGCAAAAGCUAAGCACUUGAAACCACAGUCCUCCUAUACAAACUCCCUGGGAAAUGAGACUUCUUGAACUCAGUGAGAAUUACUUCUCAGUAAACAUGUAUAGCAUAGGGCUUUCAUAUCUGCUGAUUUCAGUGGGAGACUUAAACAUGCUUAACUUUGACUGUUGUACCUUCUAUCUAUAUAAAAUCAAUUCUCUUUGCAGUUGACAAGUUUUCUAGAAUGAAAUAUUUUUUUACUUAAUGUCCAUGAUUUUUUAACAUGGCAAAUGUCUUACAUCAAGGGGACAUAAUUUUCUUCCAAAUGUAAAAUGUUUUAUAAGAACUAAAACUCGUUGUCAACAUAAUACUUGGGCAAACUCUAAGUUAAUCCAGUUCAUUUUCAGGAUCUUUUUUCUCCAGGAUCCUGUAUGUACUCAGCAGAAGAUUUAUGAAGUGAAGGUUAAAUGUUAAUGAAUUCAGCAUUACUUAAUAUGUAACUCCUCUCCUUCCCAGAAUGGUAGAAUUGUUUAAUAUUAGCAAUGUUUUUCAUUCUUGUUGCACUGUUAUUCCUCAGUGUUGAAACAUAAGUAUGUACUCAGAUGGGAAUGGCCUUUUCUUUUUUUGUUCAACUAAUAUGGAAAAUAGAGAGCCAGUGUGGUGUAGUGGUUAAGCACAGAAUCUGACAGAACUGGGUUUGAUUCCCUGCUCCCACUCGUGAAACCUGCUGGGUGACCUUGGGUCAGUCACAUUCUCUCAGCUCCCAUCUACCUCACAGCGUGCUUGUUGUGGGGAGAGGAGGUGAAGGUGAUUGUAACUCACUUUGAUACUCCUAUCUGUAGAGAAAAGUGGGGGACAAGAACUGACCCUAUUAUGGAAAGUAUAUGUAGCCAAUACAAUGGUGCCAUAGAAAUUACUUGAGCCUCCAGUGCUAACUCAAAUGUAUUGAGUCUUAGGAAAUCCGGUUUAAAAAGAUGAAGUGUCAAACUGCAGUUGCAAUUAAAUUAUUUUAGGAGCUGGAAUCUAUUUUUAUGCACAUUAGACUUUUAAUUGUAGGUUCUACAUACAUACAGGAUUGCACCAGAAAGCUGUUGCUUGGCAUUUUCUUGGAAAGCAUUUGUAUAAAUUGUAUAUUUGUGUGUGUGUGCAGGAAAAAAAUGUAUUUGAUCCUUUAGCUUUGUUCUUUCAGUUCUUGAUGCUGUCACACAAAUGUUACAUUUUGCAAUGGAUUAUUUUAUGUUUUAGAGGAAGGCACUGACUAUCACAAUGCUCAAAUGAGAUUGUGCUGCAGAAGAUAGUAUUCCAGGGAAUGUAGCGAUGUCCCUGCAUUGCGUAGAUACUUUGUGCAAUACAAUAAAAAACUAAAUGUGGGAA